CCUACGGGGGACUGCAGUAGGGAAUAUUGCUCAAUGGGGGAAACCCUGAAGCAGCAACGCCGCGUGGAGGAUGAAGUUUUUCGGAAUGUAAACUCCUUUUGUUAGAGACGAAAAUGACGGUAUCUAACGAAUAAGCACCGGCUAACUCCGUUCCAGCAGCCGCGGUAAUACGGAGGGGGCAAGCGUUACUCGGAAUCACUGGGCGUAAAGAGCGCGUAGACGGGAUAGCAAGUCAGAUGUGAAAUCCUAUGGCUUAACCAUAGAACUGCAUUUGAAACUGUUAUUCUAGAGUAUGGGAGAGGUAGGUGGAAUUCUUGGUGUAGCGGUGAAAUCCGUAGAGAUCAAGAGGAAUACUCAUUGCGAAGGCGGCCUGCUAGAACAUAACUGACGCUGAUGCGCGAAAGCGUGGGGAGCAAACAGGAUUAGAUACCCUUGUAGUC
rnacentral:rRNA from 1 species